rnacentral:rRNA from 1 species
CCUACGGGUGGCAGCAGUGAGGAAUAUUGGUCAAUGGGCGCGAGCCUGAACCAGCCAAGUAGCGUGAAGGAUGACUGCCCUACGGGUUGUAAACUUCUUUUGUAAAGGAAUAAAGUGAGGCACGUGUGCCUUGUUGUAUGUACUUUAUGAAUAAGGAUCGGCUAACUCCGUGUCAGCAGCCGCGGUAAUACGGAGGAUCCGAGCGUUAUCCGGAUUUAUUGGGUUUAAAGGGAGCGUAGGUGGGUUGUUAAGUCAGUUGUGAAAGUUUGCGGCUCAACCGCAACAUUGGAAUUGAUACUGGUAGUCUUGAGUAUAGUUGAGGUAAGCGGAAUUCGUUGUGUAGCGGUUGAA